GAUGAACGCUGGCGGCGUGCCUAAUACAUGCAAGUCGAGCGAAUGGAUUAAGAGCUUGCUCUUAUGAAGUUAGCGGCGGACGGGUGAGUAACACGUGGGUAACCUGCCCAUAAGACUAGGAUAACUCCGGGAAACCGGGGCUAAUACCGGAUAACAUUUUGAACCGCAUGGUUCGAAAUUGAAAGGCGGUUUCGGCUGUCACUGAUGGAUGGAGCCGGGCAGCAUUAGCUAGUUGGGGAGGUAACGGCUCACCAAGGCAACGAUGCGGAGCCGACCUGAGAGGGUGAUCGGCCACACUGGGACUGAGACACGGCCCAGACUCCUACGGGAGGCAGCAGUAGGGAAUCUUCCGCAAUGGACGAAAGUCUGACGGAGCAACGCCGCGUGAGUGAUGAAGGCUUUCGGGUCGUAAAACUCUGUUGUUAGGGAAGAACAAGUGCUAGUUGAAUAAGCUGGCACCUUGACGGUACCUAACCAGAAAGCCACGGCUAACUACGUGCCAGCAGCCGCGGUAA
rnacentral:rRNA from 1 species